rnacentral:rRNA from 1 species
UACUACCGAAGCUACGGCAUCAGUAAUGAUGGGUAGGGGAGCUUCCCAUACGGGUUGAAGCAUGACCGUAAGGACAUGUGGACAGUAUGGGAGUGAGAAUGUUGGCAUGAGUAGCGAGAUGUGGGGGGGAAUACCAAAGGCCGGAAACCCAAGGUUUCCAGGGGAAGGUUCGUCAACCCUGGGGUAGUCGGGACCUAAGCUGAGGCCGAAAGGCGUAGGUGAUGGACAACAGGUUGAUAUUCCUGUACUACCGAUAACCGUUUGAGAGAAGGGAUGACACAGUAGGAUAAGCUAAGCACACUGUUGGUUAUGUGUGCCCAAGCAUUGAGGCAGUCAA